GUUGUAUGGUUAAGUGACUAAGCGUACACGGUGGAUGCCUUGGCAGUCAGAGGCGAUGAAAGACGUAGUAACUUGCGAUAAGCCCAGAUUAGGUAGUAACAACCAUUUGAGUCUGGGAUUUCUGAAUGGGGAAACCCACGUGCAUAAGCACGUAUCCUUACCUGAAUACAUAGGGUAAGGAGGCGAACCGGGGGAACUGAAACAUCUAAGUACCCCGAGGAAAAGAAAUCAACCGAGAUUCCGAAAGUAGCGGCGAGCGAAAUUGGACUAGCCCUUAAGCUUUAUAUGCGUUAGACGAACGGUCUGGAAAGUCCGGCGAUACAGGGUGAUAGUCCCGUAGUUGACGACGUGUGUUCAGUGAAAUCGAGUAGGGCGGGACACGUGAUAUCCUGUCUGAAUAUGGGGGGACCAUCCUCCAAGGCUAAAUACUACUGACUGACCGAUAGUGAACCAGUACCGUGAGGGAAAGGCGAAAAGAACCCCUGUGAGGGGAGUGAAAUAGAACCUGAAACCGUGUACGUACAAGCAGUAGGAGCAGGCUUUGUCCUGUGACUGCGUACCUUUUGUAUAAUGGGUCAGCGACUUAUAUUCAGUGGCAAGGUUAACCAUCUAGGGGAGCCGUAGGGAAACCGAGUCUUAACUGGGCGUUCAGUCUCUGGAUAUAGACCCGAAACCAGGUGAUCUAGCCAUGGGCAGGUUGAAGGUUGAGUAACAUCAACUGGAGGACCGAACCGACUAAUGUUGAAAAAUUAGCGGAUGACUUGUGGCUAGGGGUGAAAGGCCAAUCAAACCUGGAGAUAGCUGGUUCUCCCCGAAAGCUAUUUAGGUAGCGCCUCGGACGAAUACUACUGGGGGUAGAGCACUGUUAAGGCUAGGGGGUCAUCCCGACUUACCAACCCUUUGCAAACUCCGAAUACCAGUAAGUACUAUCCGGGAGACACACGGCGGGUGCUAACGUCCGUCGUGGAGAGGGAAACAACCCAGACCGCCAGCUAAGGUCCCAAAUUACUACUAAGUGGGAAACGAUGUGGGAAGGCUCAGACAGCCAGGAUGUUGGCUUAGAAGCAGCCAUCAUUUAAAGAAAGCGUAAUAGCUCACUGGUCGAGUCGGCCUGCGCGGAAGAUGUAACGGGGCUAAGUAGUAAACCGAAGCUGCGGCAAUGUGCUUUUGCACAUUGGGUAGGGGAGCGUUCUGUAAGCGGUUGAAGGUGUGUGGUAACGCAUGCUGGACGUAUCAGAAGUGCGAAUGCUGACAUGAGUAACGAUAAAGGGGGUGAAAAACCUCCUCGCCGGAAGACCAAGGGUUCCUGUCCAACGUUAAUCGGGGCAGGGUAAGUCGACCCCUAAGGCGAGGCCGAAAGGCGUAGUCGAUGGGAAACGGGUUAAUAUUCCCGUACUUCUUACAAUUGCGAUGGGGGGACGGAGAAGGCUAGGUGGGCCUGGCGACGGUUGUCCAGGUUCAAGUGCGUAGGCUUAAGAGUUAGGUAAAUCCGGCUCUUUUUAAGGCUGAGACACGACGUCGAGCACCUACGGGUGUGAAGUCAUUGAUGCCAUGCUUCCAGGAAAAGCCUCUAAGCUUCAGAUUGUAAGGAAUCGUACCCCAAACCGACACAGGUGGUCGGGUAGAGAAUACCAAGGCGCUUGAGAGAACUCGGGUGAAGGAACUAGGCAAAAUGGUACCGUAACUUCGGGAGAAGGUACGCUCUUGAUGGUGAAGUCCCUCGCGGAUGGAGCUGACGAGAGUCGCAGAUACCAGGUGGCUGCAACUGUUUAUUAAAAACACAGCACUGUGCAAAAUCGUAAGAUGACGUAUACGGUGUGACGCCUGCCCGGUGCCGGAAGGUUAAUUGAUGGGGUUAGACUUCGGUCGAAGCUCUUGAUCGAAGCCCCGGUAAACGGCGGCCGUAACUAUAACGGUCCUAAGGUAGCGAAAUUCCUUGUCGGGUAAGUUCCGACCUGCACGAAUGGCGUAAUGAUGGCCACGCUGUCUCCACCCGAGACUCAGUGAAAUUGAAAUCGCUGUGAAGAUGCAGUGUACCCGCGGCUAGACGGAAAGACCCCGUGAACCUUUACUACAGCUUGGCACUGAACAUUGACCCUACAUGUGUAGGAUAGGUGGGAGGCUUUGAAGCAGGUACGCCAGUAUCUGUGGAGCCGUCCUUGAAAUACCACCCUUGUAGUGUUGAUGUUCUAACGUCGACCCCUUAUCGGGGUUGCGGACAGUGCCUGGUGGGUAGUUUGACUGGGGCGGUCUCCUCCCAAAGAGUAACGGAGGAGCACGAAGGUGGGCUAAUCACGGUUGGACAUCGUGAGGUUAGUGCAAUGGCAUAAGCCCGCUUGACUGCGAGAAUGACAAUUCGAGCAGGUGCGAAAGCAGGUCAUAGUGAUCCGGUGGUUCUGAAUGGAAGGGCCAUCGCUCAACGGAUAAAAGGUACUCCGGGGAUAACAGGCUGAUACCGCCCAAGAGUUCAUAUCGACGGCGGUGUUUGGCACCUCGAUGUCGGCUCAUCACAUCCUGGGGCUGAAGUCGGUCCCAAGGGUAUGGCUGUUCGCCAUUUAAAGUGGUACGCGAGCUGGGUUUAGAACGUCGUGAGACAGUUCGGUCCCUAUCUGCCGUGGGCGUUGGAAGAUUGAAGGGGGCUGCUCCUAGUACGAGAGGACCGGAGUGGACGAACCUCUGGUGUUCGGGUUGUGUCGCCAGACGCAUUGCCCGGUAGCUAAGUUCGGAAUCGAUAACCGCUGAAAGCAUCUAAGCGGGAAGCGAGCCCUGAGAUGAGUCUUCCCUGAUACUUUAAGUAUCCUAAAGGGUUGUCGGAGACUACGACGUUGAUAGGUCAGGUGUGUAAGUGCUGUGAGGCAUUGAGCUAACUGAUACUAAUUGCCCGUGAGGCUUAACCAUACAACACCCAAGGGGUUU
rnacentral:rRNA from 1 species